UCAAGCAGGCAGAACGUACGGAAGUUCGUGAAGUGUACUGUAGAAGUUAUUUAGCCUGACCGGUGUGGAACAGAUCUAGUGACAACAAGUUAAAGUCACGGUGUGCGAGGUGCAAAUCUUGUAGAUUUUGUUUGCCUAGAGCAAGUCGCAGAUGGCCUUCACUUUCUGCACGCUGCUCGGUAGAGCCAAAAUGGAGUAGAGGAGGAUAAUACUAUGAGAUCGGCCUUUCUAUCAUGACCAACUUGUGCGCCAGGCCGGGAAGGUGUCCUAGCACGAUCAUGGAUCGGUGUGCUAGCGUUGGAGUAACUGGCACGUCGCCGGUGAAUCUGCUUCUGUCCGGGCAAGCAUGCUGUCCACCAAUC